UGUAAGUGGGACAGGGGGAGGGGAGGGAGUUAAAUAUGCUGUUUUUGAAAAUGCAAAAAAUAAAAUAAUAAAAAGAAGUGACAAUGGGACAAAAGCUGUGUGUGUGUGUGUGUGUGUGUGUGUGUGUGUGUGUGUGUAAACCAUGGGGAGCAAUGCCUCCCUCAAGCAUUUUCAGUCCUAUCAAAAUUGCUGCUAAAUCCAG